ACCUCCUGCUGCCACAUCAUCUCUAUGCAUAGGGCAUUUUGUGCCACCUGUCCACUUCUUAAAAAAAACUAUUGGCAAGUUUAUGUUUUCAGUGGGCUUUAAAUACAUAUAUGCUAUAAAACAAAAGAUUUCUAUUGAUGAAUUUAAGAAACAGGCAUGUAACCAGACGGCUGUUACAUGUCUUCUACGUUUCUUGAGGCGCUUGAUGUGAAAAGAGGGUGAGCUCAUGGUCGCGGACAUGAUGCUUCUUGAUGAAAAGGUAUGUAUCUAUGUGAUAAGCUUCUACAAUCGUUAAACCCAAAUUUGCGGAAGGUUCCCUGCGUUCCAAGAAGUAGAUUGUCAAUAUUUUUGAUUUGUGUUCUUUUCCUUGAGUCCCUUGAUAAUGUGUUUUACAUUGAUUUGGUAGCCAUAUAAACAAUUACCGUACUUUAACUUUCAGGUUCUUACAUAUUUUCUUUCCUUAAGUUUCUAAUGUAUAAUUAUGUUGGUUUGAACAGCCCUACUGCAAUUCGUGUGCUUAAAGCAGCACUCAAUGAUCAACAUGUCAGAAUUCAAGUAUGUCUCAGAUGCUUAGUUGUAGUGACAAACUCAUUAUAAAAGGAUUUAUAAACUUUUUUUCUAGGAUGCCGUGAAUGAGAGACAUUCUUAUUCUAUGGAACCGAAGAAGCUACUAAAGAAAGAAAGUCUUACUGCUUGAAAACUCUGUUGAAUUUCCCAGUAAACUCUUGACUGGAAAGGUACUUAUAACUUUCCCUGCUGAUAUAUAGUUUCAUUUAUCUGCCUCCAAUGAUCGUUAUUGGUUGAGUUCUGCAGAACAUGGCCUCCAAAAAUCAAUCAAAACUGUAUGAGCCCAUAGAAGAGAUUGAUAUAAUGUUGAACCAGACAUCAUCCUCACCGGAGUUCCAUUUUUCUUUCAUAUCUCAAAGUCACAGAUUGUUUUUUUUUUUGGCAGGUGAACCUAAGGAAUCUGAAGUCACAUUCCUAGCUUUAACAUUCAGUUAUAAAGUUAGUCACAACACUGAGUUGCUACCUUUGGUACACUCCCCAAGUCCUACCAAACAGAUGUAUGUAUUUUCUUAAGAAAUAUUUUUUCAAAUCUUUGGAAGUGUUAUUAUAUUAUUUUCUUGACAAUCUAAUACAUUAAUCUUAUUAGUAUUUACAAAGAAAAUGUUACAUUAUGUUUUAUUAAUGCAUAAAACAUGGAUAUAAAAAACAUAAAUAUGUCCAAAGCUUAACCUGAGACGUAUACAUGCCCCUCUGAAGCUCACUUGAAAGAGUUUUUCAUGUUAUCUCUUACGUUUCAUAUUUAUUGCUUUUAUUUUUAACUUAUUCAUUUAAAAUUCGUUAAUAAUAAUGUAUAGAUAAAAGUUAAACUAUCGUAAGAUUAUUACUGUCUGUUUGAGAGGGUGGUUUAUACUUGCAAGGUUUGGGUAAUUAUAAUUGCAUAAUUUUCAAUAACAUAUAAGAAAAAUUCAUAAAAUAGAAGUUAAGAGUGUCAAUUAGCGAUAUUGUUUUUAACAUUUCAUCAACGUAACUCACCAAAAAUUUUAAACAUUAACUCUGCCAGUUUUUGUUUUCAUUAAUAAUCAUUAAACCCAAGAUAAUAGAAACUGACAAUACAUUGAGGAAACCAGCGAAAAAUUAAAACAUAAUUGGAAAACGAAGGGUGACCAACUCGGGAAACAAACCGGACAUAGCGAUAAAUUAUAGGGAUGUGUUAAGAACUGGGAAGUCAAGCUACGAAAAGACAAAUCAGAAAUUUAUGAGUACAAAUCAGAAAUUAAGAACGAGAUGAGAGACUGAUUGUUCUGUACGAGCAAUAAUAGCUCUAACAAAUGAUAGAAAAAGUGGCAGAAGAAUAUGGUAAUGAUACUUUUACUUUAAGAUAUGCAAACAUAUAUAUAUUUUAAUGAAUAAUGAUGCUUUCACUUUUAGAGAUAGAAAAGGAAAACACAUAGGGUCUGACUGGUGACCAUUCGGGAAUCAAGAGGAACGAAUAAAAAGGGAAUGUACGGGAACAAAAUAUCAGGAAUGAAAAGGAAUGGUUGUUCCUUAUCAAAUUUAACAAAGAAUAAUUUUGUUCUUAAAUUCUCUACAAAAAAGGGAAUGAAAAGGAAUAAGAGGGAAUUUUUAUUCCUUGUGAAUGGUGAUUUUUUUUAGAAACGUUAGGGAAUGCAUUAUUCCUCACCGUUCCUUGGUCACCAUUCAUACCCAUAGUAUAAAAGAGAGCGUAAACAACGCAGCUUGCAUAAUUGGAGAGGAAGGAUGCUACAAGAAUAAGUGGAGCUAAGGGAAGGCUGUUACUAUACCCACUUAUGUGCUCCAAUGUUCCAAAUUUGGUUUAGAUCCAGUAAGGUCCACUAUUGUGUCUACUCUGUUUUUCUUUCAUGUAAUUUGAAUCAAGAUCAGUUAAUAAAGACAUAGUUUUCAACUUUGAAGAGUGACGGAAAGGUUGAGACAUGAUUUUCAUUACCAGAAGAUGAUCAAAUUUUGAGAACAUAUACCGAUCGAGCUACUCACACUUAACGAAAGGCUAUUUAUAAAAAGCUAAUAUCAUGUUUUUCUUAACAUACUUUCUGGCAUACUCAUUGCACUUGCACAUCACUAAUCCUAUAUCAUAUUACAUUUUCUAUUCCUAUAUCAUAUUACAUUUUCCUCAAUAGAAGAAGAAUAUCCUUAAAUAUUUGGGCCAGUAAGUUUUAUGGUCUCUUUGUAACAUUCUUACAUUUAAGCCGGUAGAUAUGGUUGUCAAAUGAAUAGAAAGAUUAAUAAUGCCAAAAAACAGUUGACUAACUACUGGCCACUCUAAAAUAAUUGUAAGUCUAUCGUCAUUAAAUUGAACCAAACAAUAGUAACUGAGUUUCCUUACUUUUUCGUUCGGAGAACAAUAGCAUUUUUUGUCGUUUUGGUAUUAAAGAUCAGAUGAGGCACUCAAUCACCUACGCAAUUCUGCAAAUGCAAAUUAUCUUUGUGGUUUAUUACUUUUGUGCACAUGAAAAAUCAAGAAGAAAAAAAAGUUCCUAGAUACCCUAGACUGGAAACGCACAUUACCUACAUCCGAUCGUUGCUGGAGAAAAAUUAAAAAAAAAACACUCAGUGUCUUCCUAUUCAGCUGGAGGACGUAUAUCUAAAGAAUAUGGCUAGACUCAAACUCCCAAGAAGUUGCGACCUCCAAAACAUAAAUCAUCUAUCCAAGAAUUGUUACUACUUCAUAAGAGUUGAGAAAUUUGUCGAUUACAUUGUUCAUAGAUUAAAAAAAAUGUCAUUGCUUACUUUGAUUUUUAAAGAAAAAGCUGAUUUUACAUUUUUUCUAUCAUGAAUAUUUAAAAAUCUUUAAUUUAUUGUUUGCUUUACUUUUGAAAUUAAUUAUUACUCCGUCAUGUACUUCCUACCAUCAACUUUCCGUUUAGGAUAAACCCAUAAAAUUCAAAAAAUAAAUAAAAUUCUUUAUACAUACGUAAACCAAAAAAAUACAUUUCCCCCAUAAGUUAAUUUUUGUUUUUGCAUUUUCACUAACAUGUACUCAUAAAAUCCAUUAUUAGUCACGACCCUCAAUUCUUAAUUGGCAAGAACUACUAAUUCUAACUCGACCGGAUAACAACUAACAGAUGAAAAAUGAAACUAAUUGAAUUCAAAAGAGAAAACAACGUCGAAACCCGGCGCGUAGCGCCGGAAUACCCCUAGUAUAUAUAUAUAAUGCCAUGCCUUCUUUAGAAACUCAGUACGUGUCUAGCGAGUUAUCAUAAAAUUGGAAAUAAAUCAAGGAUUACUCGGAAAUUUUUUUUAUUUAUCUUUUAGCUAAUAAUAAGUAUAUAAACUAAAUAUGUAGAUAAUAACCAUAAGUACAAGCUGUCCUAUUGGUUCGUACAAUUCUAUUUGGGUCUAAAAAUCCAAGUUCGAGUUCUGGGAGAAGGUUUUCUGUCUGCAACCCAAUUUCACAUAUGUGGCUUUUUCUAGUUUUUAGUUUUGUUUAAACUGAUUUUUCAUGUUUUUUAUACCGUAUCUAAUGGUAUAUCUACAAAAAAAACAUAUUUGGAUAUUAAAAACUAAUAAAAUAGAGUUUCCAAAUCGUCACGGCUAUUUACCGUGGAACGAGUUUCCGGCUGCCGAACCGUUCACUCUAGCAAGUUUUACAACAGGGAUGCCAUGUAUAUUUAAGUUAAAUGUCAAAAGUAUGAUUCUAUAUUAAUUGACUUUUUGGACAAUAAUGUAUAUAUCUAUAAUAAAUUACCUCUAAUUUUGUCUUUGUCAACUUUUCUUUUCAUUGAAAAUAUGCCCAAUGGGCAAUAUUACAAGCAAGUUUAUAAAGUCCAUGCCCUGUCAAAUUACAAGCCCAGAAUUUAAGUUAAAACUAAACCCAAUAUAUUGAUCUGAACUGUCUUUAGGCUACACGUGUUGUCCCACGCGCUUGCAUGAAUCCUCGAUCUUGUAUCACCUACGCGCGGACACGUGCCUCCGUCUGAGAUGGGGCUCCGCCGUUGCGAAAUCGUCAAACCCACUUGUAAAAUCCUUCUUUCAUGUAGCCGUCAAGGAUGAAAGGAGCCUUCUUCGUCCGCUGGAUUUAAUACCCAAGUAAGCUUUGACAGAUUGGUAACAGACCUUUACCGGAACGUUUUCAUCAGAAAACUCUGAUUCAUCUAAGUCUGUCCCAUAAUCAACAAAGCUGAAUCCAAAACCUUAGCUGAUUCAAUUCAAACAGGAGGCUUUACGAAGUUUUAAUCGUAAAGAUUUAUUCCUUGAAAUUGAAAUAGCUAAGCAUAACCAUAGGACAAAUAAAACAUAUCUAAAACUCAACGGGAUGAGACUAUUUCAGGAAAACAAAAGAGUCUUAGAGUGGUAUAGAAAGAAGGAUAAAGACUUAAAUCGAUAAAACAAUGAUCGAAGUUUAUUAACUUCAACCAAAAACCGAGAAAUCUUAAACUUGAAGAACAGCUCGGAUUCGACUAAAGAACACAAUAAAAUUGCCAACGCGAAACAAAAUUCCGCUACCGGAACAGAAAAUCGAUCGUUUUCGAUCAAAUAUAUUACAAACAAAAAAAAAAAGACUCUGAAUCAAUCCCUCUCCCCCUGAAAGAUUUUAAUUUGAUAAGGGGGAUGGAGAUAAUUUUCUCACCUCUGAUUGUAUUUAACUUAUAUUAUAUAUAUUAUUCUGUAGUUUCACAUUUUAUAUCUUUUUGUUUCAUAUGUAUUAUAAUUUAAAUUUUAAAAUAAAAAUACUUAGAUUUUAUAAGUAAUUUUAUGUGUGGCACAUCAUUUAAUACAAAAAGCAUUAUGGUGAAAUGCUAUUUUCCUUGUCAUUUUAUAUAGAAAACAUAUAUUUUCAAAAAAAAGUAAAGAGUUAUAAUGAAAUGUUAACUUAUUUUAUAUAGAAAACAUAUGUUUUCCACAAUUCAAGUUUGGAGUUUUAAAAGAUUAAAAUUGAGAAGUAAAGAGUUAUAGUCUCAUUUUUUAAAGUUUGAUUUUUAUUUCUGGUUUAGCUUUUAGAACAAGGAUUAGAAUUUUGACUCUUGUUUUAAUUUUCAAAAUACAUAAAUAUAAAAUUAAUUUAUGUUUUACAUAGAAUGUUGUGGUCUCAUUCAAAAUGGUAUAUUCAAUUUAAAAGUAAAUAUAUGUUUGUUUAGAAAAAAUGCAAAUAAUAAGGUAUGAAGAAGAUUUUAGUAAGUUGAGAAUAUUGAAUCCGUUUACGUAAAAAUCAUCUAAAGAAAGGAAAUAUGAAAGGGGAAACCAUUCAAGGUA